rnacentral:lncRNA from 1 species
GCCUUGGGAUAGGAGUGGCUGGACUAGGGGAGCUAGAAAUGAGUUUUGUGUAUAAAGACAGCUUUGACAGGCCUGGUAACUGCUUUUUUUUGGGUUUUUCUAAUUGCUUCUGAGCAGGAGAAGUUGGUCCUUGGGAGCUGUGAUUCCUGCCUGCACGCAAUGCUGCAGGCUCCAGAGGAGAGACCCUGGGUGCUGAUGACAAGGACGUGGUCCAAGUGCCACCCCGGGCAUUGCCAGCCACAGAGGGGAUGUGUUUGCCUGGGACAGGUGCAUUCCCAGUCUCGCAGAGCAGGAGGUUCUGAGCUGUGACCGUGCCACUCCAGCACCUAAAAUGUGAAACCUGUGGAGAAUUCCUAUUACUGUGCAGUGAAUAGCAGGAAGCAAACCAUGGACACUCAGUUGUUCUCCCCAUUCCUGGGAGCAGUCCCCAGUCCCCCCACGCUCCUGGAGCCGUCCCAGCUGUGCAGGGACUGGCCAGGAUGUGCUGAGGAUUUUGGAUCCCAAACUGCCUUCCAGGAGUGCCCAAAACAAAGGGCACCAAUAAAUCUUUCUUACACUGGCAAUGGCCCUGAUGUGUUUGGGUUGGUGUCGAGCAUUUUAGAGGAGCCAACCAAGCCAGAAGCAGCUACAGAUUGGAAUUCUCCAGCAAGAUUCUUUCCCCCUGUGUGGGCACCUGAUCUGGGCAGCACCGGGGAGUUCCCAGGGCUGCCAUCUCAGCACUGUGUCCAAAACAAGGAUUUUCCCAACCUGCUGGGCUCCAGCUGCCAUCAGGAACCCCUGCAGGAGCCUCCCGAGCUGGAGAUGCUGCACAGAGGCUUGGGAGACCUGCAGCUCCUCGAGUCGUGGCUCUCUCCCUGUGCUCACCCCAGCAAUGCCCCAAGGAACUCUGAAAAUUCCCCUUUGCAAGCCACAGCUCCCCAGGAAGGCUUUUCCUUCCCAAAUGGGGGCUGGAACCAGCAUUUGUGCACUUACGACCAUGGGAGGUUAAAUGGAGGCCACGAAAAAUGUGGGUCCAAUUUUCAGCCUUUUUCUCCUCAGAGCAGGAUGAAAGAGAGCCCCAGCGUUGAGAAGGAGUUUUGGAGAAGAGGAAAAGCUGUGAAAAAUUAUGCUCGAGGACAAACUCAGUAUUUCCCUGAUCUUUCCAAUCAGCCUGGUGAUAACUCUUGGGAUAAGGUACCCCAGGACAGCCACGUGUUCUCUAAGAGAUAUGAGAACUUCCCAGCUGCCCACAAACUGCAGUCACCUGUCCAGCCAUCCCUUCAUUUUUCCAAUCCACCCCCUAAGGAAAAUACUUUUUCUGGAGGAGCAGGCAGAAAACCCCAGGAAAGCCAUGUGCAGAAUGGCCAUUGUGGCUUUACUUUAGGGGAUGCUUUUAAUAAUAAUAAUAAUGAUGAGUGUAAAGUGAAUAUGGCACCUAAGGGAAGCUCUCCUCAAGCAGCUGAAUGUGAUUUAUCUGUGCAAAAUGGAAAUUACUCUUCGUACCAGGGGUGUGCAUGGCUGGAUGGGAGCAAUCUGGCAGCUGCAUCUGAAAUUCCAUGUGGAAAACAAAUGGCAACGAGCCCCCAGUCCUCAUCAGGGGUUUCCAGCAUGUCUGGGGGCUCUCCCACCCACCAGCCUUUCACACAGCCCCCCUACUACUCCCAGCUCCUCCCUGCCCUCCCUGCCAGGAAAGAUGGGAGGCUCCAAACAUCAAAUGAAGUUUCCAGUCACUUGGGGGUUCCUCAUUUCAUCUCGGAGAGCCAGAAGCAGAUGAGAAGAUCCCAGGAGGAUGCUGGGGUGACAAAGGAGGGGCAGCGCCACAAAUUCCCUGCUCGUUUUUCACCCGACUGGCUCGUGCAGCAGAAAGCUGCAGGAGAAGACCCCGCUGAGAAAUGCCAGAG